rnacentral:rRNA from 1 species
ACUCAAAUGAAUUGACGGGGACCCGCACAAGCAGUGGAGCAUGUGGUUUAAUUCGAAGGUACACGAAGAACCUUACCAUCUCUUGACAUGUUGGUAGAUCGUGCGAGAGCACGAAGAGCUUUAUAUCCGAGAGGGUAUAAAGACGCCAAACACAGGUGCUGCAUGGCCGUCGUCAGCUCGUGUCGUGAGAUGUUGGGUUAAGUCCCGCAACGAGCGCAACCCCUACCCUUUGUUGCCAACAGGUAAAGCUGGGGACUCUAAGGGAACUGCCAGCGUUAAGCUGGAGGAAGGAGGGGACGACGUCAGGUCAUCAUGGCCCUUAUGAGAUGGGCUACACACGUGCUACAAUGGUGGUUACAACGAGGUCAGAUGCGAAAGAGUGAUCUAGAGCAUAAUCUUAUAAAAGCCAUCUCAGUUCGGAUUGCUCUCUGAAACUCGAGAGCAUGAAGUAGGAAUUGCUAGUAAUCGCGGAUCAGAAUGCCGCGGUGAAUACGUUCUCGGGUCUUGUACACACCGCCCGU